UGGCCGUGUCGUCACAUACAGUAAAUACAAAACACUCAAAUUCCAAAACUUCAUGAGUUCAUAUUCACCCCCUCCAAAUAUUUGAGCCGCUGAAAACGAAAGAGGUCGCCUUUUGCAGGAGAAUGAUUUCACAUUUUAUGACGGCUGCCCGGUGGCUUACGCUAAGGGCUCUAUUUUGGCGCUUAGUCUGAAUUAAGACUGGGUUUUGGUAUUUUUGUAGAUGCGUGCAGCUUGACUCAUUUGGAAAACAGGCGUUGUGGGCGUGAACUUGAUUAGCUGUCAAAUGAACCAGCUCCUCUCAUUCCCUUUAGCAUCAGUGUGAGAUGGGCGCAGUCUUUGACAUGGCUGGAGCAGAUAAUGAUUUGCUCGAGUCUACCCAAUUUAUGUUUAUAAGGAACUGCGAGCAGACCUCCACAGGUGGAUCAUGUCAGGAGACCAGAUCACAAAUCUGUGAAGUGGGUGCUUCUAGACCCCCUUAAAAACAAACGGCUGACAUAUGAUUCCUUGCUUCUGAGUAUGACGCUGCUGGGUGCGUGCGUGCGUGUGUGUGUGUGUGUGUGUGUACUUGCGCGUGGGUGUGGUUGUUUCACAACUUGUGAAAAAGCGAAAGACUACUUUGUCAUUAAUGAGAGGUUAGCAACAUCUUGUGGAAUAUUAUGGCAUUACAAAGAGAGCACACAAAUAAAGAAAGAAAAUUAAGACUCAAAUAAACCUACAAGUUCGGAUUCAACUUCUGUACGUGAGUCAAAACAAUGAACUCGUUGGCGUGACUUUACUUAAUUUGUGUGCGGCAUAGUAAAUGCUGAAUGCUGCAAACUGCUGCGUCACCAUGUUUGUUUUGAACUUGAGGUUCCACUGACUGACCCUGACUUUGGAGACCCCAAAGCCCUACUAGGGCAAUAUCCAUUUAGGACAAUCUUUCAAAGCUAUCCAACAUUGGCUUGAUUUUUAUAAUGCAUUCCUAUAGUUUGGCUAAUAUUAUGCACAAAAAACCCGCUCAAUUAGCUCAUGAUAACAACUGAAUAAUUACACCAUAGUUGUAUGCAGAUUGCAAUGUUGUGAUUAAAAGUAAAAAGUAAUCACAAAAAUGAAUACUGAAGUAAAGUACAGAUACCUGGGAAGUCGACUUAAGUACAGUUACACAUUUUCAACAAAUCUGUGAAUUUGUAAAUACGUGUGAGUUCAUUGUACGCCGUUUAUAGUCAUCCCCCCCAAAAAAUAACAUGGCCGUUGCCAAUAAGGUGCCCAACUUUAUGUACGCUCUGUAUACUCUAAAUGUCGGAUGACGCCCAGGUGCUAAAAUGGCGUCUCCUCCUUCUUCUUCCAAUUCCCGUUGGCGAGAUGCGAGAGAAAGAUGGCGAAGUGAGGAGGAGGAUGGGAUGGAGGAAGUGGACUGAAUGUAAAAUGCAGUGAGGUGACAGUGAGAUUGGGGGCGUGGGGGCUGAGACGACUGGGCGCUUAGAAGGGGUUGGGGGGGGGGGGUUCUGUGCAGGCGGGGGCGGAUGCUUGACCGAGUGUUUUCACAGCCGUCUCCAUGGCAACCAGGCAGCAGCUCUCUGGAAUCGAACAUGCAAAUGUGAAGUGGCAAAGCGCUCGGUCGCCGGCUCCCACGCUCGGCGGAAAUUUUUGGACCGUUGGGAGAUGGCUCGGGGAGGGUUGGGGGGGUGGGGGCGUGAGCCGAUGGCAAUGCGGGGGGCUAACAUGAUGAUGAUGAUGAUGAAGGCGAGGAGAUGCCGCUAGCCAGGAGAGAGAUUUUGACAAAGAGAAAAGAUGAUGUCAUGGCUUCGCCGCAUCCAGCUUGAAAGUAGGGCAUAGGAGGCGAAGAGAAGAUGGAAGCGUAGUUGCAAGUAAGGAAGCAAGAGAAUUGAGGAGGAAGCGAGCAAGGAGGAAGUAGGGGGGGCCAGAAGGAAGUGAGGAGUCAGUCAGAAGUAAGGGAGCAAGAGAAGUGAGUUGGAAGUCAGUGACAAUUAAUAAGGAAGAUAGUCAACUCAACUCGUCUCAUUUGAUAACAUCAGUUUGGCAGCACAAUUCUUCAACAUAAAAGCUCCAACGGUUGGGCACCCCCAGUUGAGGUUUACUGUCAAACCAUACAUUAAAAACACACACACAAACAAAACCACGAUGUAUAUUUUAAACAACCAAACAAAUUAAACUCAGGAAUGCCCCUGCUAGCUUAACACCAACACGUAAUGGAAAAAGCCAUUGACGGGUAGCA